GUGCGCGAAGAGUCGAGCCGAGACGGAGAGAGCUAGAGGAGAGGUUUGGGAUUGGGAUUGGUGGUCGGAGGUGAGGGACAGCGCGGCGGCGGAGGCGAGGGACGGCGCGGCGGCGGAGGCGAAGGACGGCGCAGCGGUGGAGACGAGCGGGAGCCCAGCAGCGAAGGCGAGCGGGAGCGCAGCAGCGUAGCGGAGGAGGAGGAGCGGUAGAGCCACGAGUGGCCCUCCUCGUGCCGAGCGGUGGCGUCGAUGAGGCGCAGCGACGAGGGGGUAACUCGAGCACGCAGGGGUAGCGGACCUCUUCGCCUCCGACGUCGAGGACGUAGACGAGCCGGGAGAAAGGGAGCAGUCACUCGCCGAGUACCGUCGAAGUCUAGGUGACACGUCGUGUACAACAGACAAGACGUUCUAGCUGCGACCGGAAGAUGUAGUACGCCACCGGUACCGGUCACGAGACGGCGGAGGUUGAAUCCGGAGGCAGAGGUGAAGUAAUCCAACUGGGGGGGGGGGAAGAGACUGGAAACGAAAAAGGUACAUAACCGAACGUCCAGCGGUGGACCACCCAUGACCGAGCUUCCACUGCUCCAUGUGGUCGUCAACCUAGUUCUGAUAUACUCCACUACUGUUUGACACAUUAGAAGUCUAGGUGAACUGGUAUCGUUCAUAGACGUUCCCUUUGGUACCAACUACUAAGGAACGGAAAGGUCACGAACCCGCGUGGAUCGUCGACGAAGUGCGGAGAACUCUUACGGCCAUAGGGAAUGAAUCCAACCACGACAUGCCGAACCAACUCGAGUUUUAAGUUGCCUCUGCCGUUAACAGUCAAAACCCGCAGCAGACAAGUUAAAAUGGCUUGAGGACUUGUGGCAUAUAAACAUGCCGUUGUCGACCACUUCGUACAAUCAUAAUAGUUUCACCGAUGAAAAUAGUCCCAGGAAGAGUGUCAUUGGGAACUUAGAGUAACCGAGUAGUACUCCAUAUAUGACCUAUACAGGGAUACCUAAUGUCUCUUAUAGAAUUCUUCUACGGUUUCAGCCACGGACGAGGAAAAGUGAUAAAUAAAUGGUCAUUUAUAAAUAGUUAAUCUCACCUUCCUACUUGACAAGCAUGUAAAAAUACGAAUAAUGACUUGGUUGAUCUCUACCUGUCACUCCACUAGUACAAUGUGACGUCCGACGGUGCCUGAACCAUCGUACAAAGAAGGAGUGGAAUAAUAUAAUGGUUAGACAGCGUGGACAUACAUGUAAGAGUCCCAUAGAUACAUCACGUAUAUCAAGUACUAACUGAUUAUCAUUAAAUCAAAACUGACGGUAGUAUAGUCUUAUCAAUCUAACGUCAAAGUUAGUAUUUAUCGAGUCAAAUACUAACUUGAUAACGACGACAGGUUCUGGAAAGCUAAAAUAUAGGCCCACUAGAAAGACAACCUGAAAGACUAGGAGGAUCGACGUGGAACCGCUUCAGACAGCCUUAAAGACUAAGACUAUUGCUAGUCAUGCACACUACCAGGUAAUUAGUAAAACAACUUUCACGUAAAAAUUUUCUUUGAAGGCGUACCAAUUUAUUAUGUGUACGCCUGUACGCCAAAUCAACUAAACCAGAAUGUCUAUAAUACCUAAAGACCAAAUCUAUGGCCUUAGCGACUAUUUAUGGUGCGGAUCGGAGACAAAGGGAAGGAAUCGUUUGUCACGAUUCGUGUGCAAAUACCGUAAGGACAGAUGGGACUUCGUUUUAUUUCCUUGUUGGGCACCAUUUUCCGAACAUAUACCGGGUUAGUUAAUUUGUAACUGUACCGCCUUCGGCUUAUAUACCAAGAAGGUCAAUAACCAAUGGGAAAACGUAAGAGUCUCGUUAACUUAAUUAUACUACUAUUUUGCAUGAUUGGUCAAUUCAUGGUACCAAAGUCUUGGUAUAAGACUAUAAGUAUGUCCGUUUAGUAAAACUCCGCUUCUUGGCCUACAGAAAAAGGAGUUUCAUUGAAUUUGGUUCGAUGGCCAGGAUAUCGAACCCCAGAGUAACGCGUACGCAUAGAUGACAUCACACAACAACAAACAAAACAUGUUGAAUAUUCUAUGAGACGUAUACUACGGAUACUUACAUUCUAGUACAUCGUUACAAAAAAAAGGAAGAAAGGCCCUCUCGGAAAUCGACGAUUGUUUGUAACACAACAAAUAACACACUCUCAAAAUUCGUCUCCUUGGUUCAUCUUUGACGGGUCCGGAAUGAACACAACUACACUACGGAAUCGUAUAUACUAAAGUUUAGUUUGUAACAAUAUAGAAGAUUUAGUCACAAAGGGUAGUGUGUUGUAUUUAAUCACUAAGUUUAACUAUACCCUCACGAGAUUCUUUAACGGAUUACAAGCUUUGUUAAUCACCAAGUUUAACGUUAUAUAACAUUUGCUAAAUAACAAAAUUCUUACAAUGGUCCCAAACUCUAAGUUAACCACUCCAGCCUAAAUGAAAAUAUAACAAACCCAGUACAAAUGUACAAAAAGAACCAACGUUCACGAGAUGUUAAAAUAUAACUGGCGUGAAUAUUACGAAUCUCUCAAGGUUCGUGCUUUGGUACCAUACGUGCCAACCAAUCUGGAAGUUUUAAUAUACCAGAGGUCGAGUAGUUGAGAAACUUUUAUUUUCCAGACGGUAUUGUGAAACGGGAGAAAAUAGUACAACCAAGUGAAGAAAAGACAUGGUGAACGAGAAAACUAUGGAGUAAGAUGUACACGGAUUAUUCAUAACGUAGAAGGUAGUCAUAAGCGUAUACCAACUCUACUUUUCAACGUAGAUUAUAGUACAUCGAGGUCAGUCUCAAAAGACCAGGUGAUGAACGGUCCCUUAUGAAUGGAACGGUAAACCACACUAAUACACGAGAAUACCCCGACCAAAACAACAUCUAACCACUUGAGUUCUCCGACAACCUCCCUCCAGUUCAUACAACCCAAUAUCUCCGCUCGGGGCUGUGGUAGUCCGUAAGAAUGUAACACGUGGACUAGAGAUGGUACAUCACCUUACCAGAUACACCCGAACGGGCUCUAACGGGGAGAAACGUCCACUUAACCCGUGAAAUGUUUGAGCUGAAGACACGAAGGUAUUAGUUAUCAGGACUAACUUACUCAACAUAGCCAAUACAUUUGAGCGAAGUACGCACUGAAUGACACGUGUAUAUUCGAUACGAUAUAACAAGUAUGUGAAGGAUAAGGACACUGAGUAGUAGACCUACCAUCUCAUUAUUAAUCAACACUGCAAACAACCAUAUUAAUAACUUGGAGGAAAACUAUAUGGUACAACGUAAAGGAUACUUUUGCG
rnacentral:rRNA from 1 species